UAGGGAAUCUUCGGCAAUGGACGAAAGUCUGACCGAGCAACGCCGCGUGAGUGAAGAAGGUUUUCGGAUCGUAAAACUCUGUUGGUAGAGAAGAACGUUGGUGAGAGUGGAAAGCUCAUCAAGUGACGGUAACUACCCAGAAAGGGACGGCUAACUACGUGCCAGCAGCCGCGGUAAUACGUAGGUCCCGAGCGUUGUCCGGAUUUAUUGGGCGUAAAGCGAGCGCGGUGGUUUAUUAAGUCUGGAUGUAAAAGGCAGU
rnacentral:rRNA from 1 species